rnacentral:rRNA from 1 species
ACGUAGGUGGCGAGCGUUAUCCGGAAUUAUUGGGCGUAAAGAGGGAGCAGGCGGCAGCAAGGGUCUGUGGUGAAAGGCUGAAGCUUAACUUCAGUGUGCCAGAGAAACCGGGCAGCUAGAGUGCAGGAGAGGAUCGUGGAAUUCCAUGUGUAGCGGUGAAAUGCGUAGAUAUAUGGAGGAACACCAGUGGCGAAGGCGACGAUCUGGACUGCAACUGACGCUCAGUCCCGAAAGCGUGGGGAGCAAAUAGG